rnacentral:rRNA from 1 species
CACGUAGGGGGCGAGCGUUGUCCGGAUUUAUUGGGGCGUAAAGAGCUCGUAGGCGGCUAAGUAAGUCAGGUGUGAAAACUCCAGGCUCAACCUGGAGACGCCACCUGAUACUGCUUUGGCUAGAGUCCGGUAGGGGAGCAUGGAAUUCCUGGUGUAGCGGUGAAAUGCGCAGAUAUCAGGAAGAACACCUAUGGCGAAGGCAGCUCUCUGGGACGGUACUGACGCUGAGACGCGAAAGCGUGGGGAGCGAACAGG